GAUGAACGCUAGCGGCGUGCCUAAUACAUGCAAGUCGAGCGAAGCGGGGACGGGGGAGUAACACGUGGAUAACCUCCUAUAAGACUGGGAUAACUUCGGGAAACCGGAGCUAAACCGGAUACUUAUAGAUGGAUCCGCGCUGCAUUAGCUAGUUGGUAAGGUAACGGCUUACCAAGGCAACGAUGCAUAGCCGACCUGAGAGGGUGAUCGGGCAAACUGGAACUGAGGCACGGUCCCGGCUCCUCCGGGGGGGAGCCGUGGGGAACUUUCCCCAAUGGGCGGAAGCCUGACGGGGCAACCGCGGGGUGGUUGUGAAGGUCUUCGGGUUGUAAAACCCGUUUAUUAGGGAAGCGGUACCUAAUCAGAAAGCCACGGCUAACUACGUGCCAGCAGCCGCGGUAAUUC
rnacentral:rRNA from 1 species